UACAGAGGUCUCAAGCGUUGUUCGGAUUCAUUGGGCGUAAAGGGUGCGUAGGCGGCGCGGUAAGUCGGGUGUGAAAUCUCGGAGCUUAACUCCGAAACUGCAUUCGAUACUGCCGUGCUUGAGGACUGGAGAGGAGACUGGAAUUUACGGUGUAGCGGUGAAAUGCGCAGAUAUCAGGAGGAACACCAAUUGCGAAGGCAGCUCGCUGGGACGUAACUGACGCUGAGACGCGAAAGCGUGGGGAGCAAACAGG
rnacentral:rRNA from 1 species